rnacentral:miRNA from 1 species
UGUUUUCUGGGUUGGAAUGAGAAUGUGUCUCCCCACCCCCCACCCCCCCAAUCCUGACCCCUUGAGCGCA